rnacentral:snRNA from 1 species
AUACUUACCUGGACGGGGUCAAUGGGUGAUCAUGAAGGCCCAUGGCCUAGGUUGGUGACCUCCAUUGCACUUUGGUGGGGUGCCUGCCUAAGGUCUAUCCAAGUGGUUGAGCCUACGUCAUAAUUUGUGGCAGCAGGGUCCUGCGUUCGCGCAGUCCCUAC